CACCUUGUCCUCAGGGUCCAGUUUUCCCAGGAAUCCCUUAGCUACUAAGAUGGGGAUUCCUGGAAAUACUGUUCUUGAGGUCAUGGUU
ensembl:miRNA MIR145 microRNA 145